GAUGCUAGCUGGACUCGGAUGGCUCCAUCAGGAAUAGUGGAGCUGCCUUGACCGUAGACUGCAGGAAAUUCGAAAACUGUUCUGAACAGUCCUUCCUAAGCCCCUGGUUUCCUGCACUUGCUCUCUUUUCCUUUUCAUAAUUUUGAGUAUCUGUUUUCAUUAAUUUUGUUCAACAUAUGCCCUUUGUGGAUAAGUGCUUGAAAUCAGACUUAGCGGCAGUUACAAAGGAGAUGCAUGUAUGGUGGGACUGGGUGGGUUCAAGUCUUCUACACACAGAGGCCAAAGCUGGUGCCGUUUCAGGGAUUGCCCUGAGCCUUGCUUUUGCUCAUGCCUGUGUGUGUCCAUGAGCUCCAACCUCGUCUCCACGGAAAGAAGGCUGAGUGGAACAUCUGCAGGCAGGGAGCAGGCAAAGCCACCAGGCAGUAUGAACACGUGUCCCUCUUCUCCAGGUAGUCCGAAGCAGGGCAGUCAACCCCAUCAGUGCACCAGGGCCCGUGUCUACUUUUCCGUCUAGACUGGCAUCUCCAUUCUCCCACCCCGGGUUUCCUCCCUGAUCCAUUUCUGCCCUGCCCUGAGGCAGCGAAGAGCCCCUCACAGUGUUCUCACUAAUUACCUCUGAUGUGUGGUUGGCAACCUUAUUUGCGAGGCUCUGUCUAUAUUCUGUACCAGGUUGGCCUCGCCCCUUGGGAGAUAAGAAAAAUGUGUGUCUUUGAAUCAAAAGAUCUGAAAAUAUAGUCAAGAUGUACUCCUGUGAUCCCUUAAUGUAGUUUAAGCCAGGGCCCCUUUAUUGUCUCUCAAACACCAUUUCCCAAAUGCACCGCAGUGUCAGCCUAUUCUUCAAAGGGGCUGUACAGAGAGCACUGAUGUCUCCAGCUGGAAGCAGACAUGAAGGACAGACUCAAGCCUGCUGCUCAUCACUCGGCAGAAGAGGCCCUGCUUCUCCAUGGAGACUAGGGAUAAGAGCAGAAAUGUCUCUGAAUUUCAAAGUCUUCUGAUGCCUGCUUCCUGAAGACAGCAGUAUGAAAGGAUACAACCACUGCCAGCCCGUGGGAUGAACCAUCAGCAAAUGGGUGUAUGAACAAUAAUUUUGGGAAGACUACAGGAUGCAUACUAAAGAACUGAGCCUAAAAGAGACAAAUAUCCAAAUUGUAAAUAACCUGAAGGCCACGCUUACAACUUCUGAGCAGAGGACGUGAGGAAAAGACCAUGACAUGAAAUCUGUAGCCCGCAGCACUAGAUGCCCAGUCCUGAAAUGAUUGAUUCUGAUCGCCUUCCUCCUCUACAGAGAACAGCCGGUAGUUGCAUUCUACAGCAGCAGUUUCGACAUUCUCCAAGACCAGAACAAGGGCCCUGGACCUAGGCUUCCAGAAUCCCUCCCGGUCGGCCCUGAGUUCCUUCACUUCUAUUCUUCGCAUUUACAGCAUCAAAUAGAGACUGUCUCUGUCGUGAGAAUAUGGUUUGGAUUUAUCGGUAAAAAUAGCAAACAGUUUUUUAUGACUGCAGAUUACCGUAAUAGCUGUUAGGAAGAUUGAGAUAGAAAAUAACAGAAGCUAAGUCAUUUGUUUUUGUUUUUCAAAGCAGCAUUUCUCUGUUGCUUUGGAGGCUGUCCUGGAA